GUUACUCAGUUCAGAUUGCAGGCUGCAACCCGCCUGCAUGAAGUCGGAAUUGCUAGUAAUCGCGGAUCAGCAUGCCGCGGUGAAUACGUUCCCGGGCCUUGUACACACCGCCCGUCACACCAUGGGAGCCGGUAAUACCCGAAGUCAGUAGUCCAACCACGUGAGGACGCUGCCGAAGGUAGGAUUGGCGACUGGGGUGAAGUCGUAACAAGGUAAC
rnacentral:rRNA from 1 species